rnacentral:rRNA from 1 species
ACGACGCUGGCGGCGUGGAUUAGGCAUGCAAGUCGAACGGUAUCAUCCUUUCGGGGAUGAGAGAGUGGCGAACGGGUGAGUAACACGUAGGUGAUCUACCCUCAAGACGGGGACAACCCAGGGAAACUUGGGCUAAUACCGGAUGUGAGCUAUCGCGAGAUAGUUUGAAAGGUGGCUUCGGCUGCCGCUUGGGGAUGAGCCUGCGUCCUAUUAGCUAGUUGGUGAGGUAACGGCUCACCGAGGCAGUGAUAGGUAGGCGGCCUUAACGGGUGGUCGCCCACACUGGGAUUGAGAUACGGCCCAGACUCCUACGGGAGGCAGCAGUCGAGAAUAGUCUACAAUGGUCGAAAGACUGAUAGUGCGACGCCGCGUGAACGAAGAAGCCCUUCGGGGUGUAAAGUUCUUUUAUAUGUGAGCAGUGCUUUCUAUGUGAACAGCAUGGGGAGAGAGAUAUUAGCAUAUGAAUAAGCAACGGCUAACUCCGUG